UUGGAGGCUUUAUUAAAAGCCACUAAGUUUCUAAAAUGAAGCGUCU
rfam:Otolemur garnettii contig162926, whole genome shotgun sequence.